rfam:Felis catus isolate Cinnamon breed Abyssinian chromosome X, whole genome shotgun sequence.
GUAAAUAUAGUUUAAUAAAAACAUUAGAUUGUGAAUCUAAUAAUGGAAGUGCAAGUCUUCUUAUUUACC